GGAAUAUUGGUCAAUGGGCGCGAGCCUGAACCAGCCAAGUAGCGUGCAGGACGACGGCCCUAUGGGUUGUAAACUGCUUUUAUGCGGGGAUAAAGUGCGGCACGCGUGCCGUUUUGUAGGUACCGUAUGAAUAAGGACCGGCUAAUUCCGUGCCAGCAGCCGCGGUAAUACGGAAGGUCCGGGCGUUAUCCGGAUUUAUUGGGUUUAAAGGGAGCGCAGGCUGAUUAUUAAGCGUGACGUGAAAUGUAGCCGCUCAACGGCUGAACUGCGUCGCGAACUGGUAGUCUUGGGUGAGUUCGAUGUUUGCGGAAUUCGUGGUGUAGCGGUGAGAUGCUUAGAUAUCACGAAGAACUCCGAUUGCGAAGGCAGCCAACAAGGCCUUUACUGACGCUAAAGCUCGAAGGUGCGGGUAUCGAACA
rnacentral:rRNA from 1 species